CACGUAGGUGGCAAGCGUUGUCCGGAAUUAUUGGGCGUAAAGCGCGCGCAGGCGGUCCUUUAAGUCUGAUGUGAAAGCCCACGGCUCAACCGUGGAGGGUCAUUGGAAACUGGGGGACUUGAGUACAGAAGAGAAGAGUGGAAUUCCACGUGUAGCGGUGAAAUGCGUAGAGAUGUGGAGGAACACCAGUGGCGAAGGCGACUCUUUGGUCUGUAACUGACGCUGAGGCGCGAAAGCGUGGGGAGCAAACAGG
rnacentral:rRNA from 1 species